rnacentral:tRNA from 1 species
GGCGAGAUGGCCGAGCGGUCUAAGGCGCUGGUUUAAGGCACCAGUCCCUUCGGGGGCGUGGGUUCG